GUUAGGAAUAUUGGACAAUGGGCGCAAGCCUGAUCCAGCCAUGCCGCGUGAGUGAUGAAGGCCUUCGGGUUGUAAAGCUCUUUAGCCGAUGAUUAUAAUGACUGUAGUCGGAAAAUAAGCCCCGGCUAACUUCGUGCCAGCAGCCGCGGUAAUACGAAGGGGGCGAGCGUUAUUCGGAAUCACUGGGCGUAAAGCGUGCGUAGGCGGUUUUGUAAGUUAGGAGUGAAAGCCCAGGGCUCAACCCUGGAAUUGCUCUUAAAACUACAAGGCUAGAAUGUCGGAGAGGAUAGCGGAAUUUCCAGUGUAGCAGUGAAAUGCGUAGAUAUUGGAAGGAACACCAGUGGCGUAAGCGGCUAUCUGGACGACUAUUGACGCUGAGGCACGAAAGCGUGGGGAUCAAACAGGAUUAGAUACCCGGGUAGUCC
rnacentral:rRNA from 1 species